rnacentral:rRNA from 1 species
CAUGGGGUGUCGGGAAAGAUUUCAUCGGUAUGGGAUGGGGUCGCGUCCUAUCAGGUAGUCGGCGGGGUAACGGCCCACCGAGCCUACGACGGGUAGCCGGCCUGAGAGGGCGACCGGCCACAUUGGGACUGAGAUACAGCCCAGACUCCUACGGGAGGCAGCAGUGGGGAAUAUUGCACAAUGGGCGCAAGCCUGAUGCAGCGACGCCGCGUGCGGGAUGACGGCCUUCGGGUUGUAAACCGCUUUUGAUCGGGAGCAAGCCUUCGGGUGAGUGUACCUUUCGAAUAAGCACCGGCUAACUACGUGCCAGCAGCCGCGGUAAUACGUAGGGUGCAAGCGUUAUCCGGAAUUAUUGGGCGUAAAGGGCUCGUAGGCGGUUCGUCGCGUCCGGUGUGAAAGUCCAUCGCUUAACGGUGGAUCUGCGCCGGGUACGGGCGGG